GCCAAUGUGGCAUAGUGGUUUGAGCGCUGGACCAAGGGACUCCGAGGACCAGGGUUUGAAUCCCAGCUUGGCCA